UUGAGCUUCAAAACCGCUCUUCAGAAACCAACGGGUGACGUCACGGUAACUACGUCCAUAUUUUUAUACAGUCGAUGGUCUUUACGCAGCACAGAUUACAACAACAAUGACAGGGGAGUUUUAUGGAUAUGGACAAAACCACAUGACGGUGAUUCUGCUGGCGAGCCGCAAACGGCACAGCUGUGGUGAAUUGGCAUAAUCAGCGGACCAGUCGGCGUCUUCUACAAAAACACUGCCAGUGUUUUAGUCAGGAGUUCCAGAGCGACUGAGACGGAGGCUAUAGUGUAAUCCUGGGCAUAAUUCUGAUUCGGUUGUGGGGCACUGUUGUGCUUGUGAUUCUGUGAAUUAGGGGAUACUAAGUAGCAGAGAGAGAAUCCUUCUGCAUUUAGUCUCUCGGCCGAACCGCUCUGGGACACUUUCCCAUUUAACUGCAUGCACGCAUUUUAAUGUACUGUUGGUGUUUUUACUGUGAUAAUUUAAAACUAGCCCAACUUCCCCACUCUGUUGGGUUACCAUUUUUAUUCUAUUUGGAUUAACCUAUUAAUUAAGGAACAUUUAGUAGCUAUGCUGCUGUUUUAUCAUUGGAUGUGUGUGAUGUGAACUCUGCUGUUUUAAGACUGAAGUGAGUUUAGUGAGUUUUAAUCGCAUGUUUUCUUUGUUUUUUAUUGUUCAUUCUGUGUUAUUUUAAGUAAUGCUCACUGUGUAUAGAACAGGGCAUUUUAUUAUGGAUCCUUGUUAGAGAAUUGUAGAGAUAAAUUGUUUUAACAAUUUAUCCUGGUGUGCUGUCUGCUCUUUCUCUUACUGGGGUGCUCUACCAAAGGUACAAAUUGCACUACUUCUGUAAAGGGGCUUGCCCCUAUUACAAUAAACAUUAUCAGUGUCUGAUAACCAA